rnacentral:rRNA from 1 species
CUGGGUUUCCAGGGCACAGUUUUUAGGUUUAAGGAACCUGCUCAGGACGAACGCUGGCGGCGUGCUUAACACAUGCAAGUCGAACGAUGAACCACCUUCGGGUGGGGAUUAGUGGCGAACGGGUGAGUAACACGUGGGCAAUCUGCCCUGCACUCUGGGACAAGCCCUGGAAACGGGGUCUAAUACCGGAUACUGACCUGCCAAGGCAUCUUGGCGGGUCGAAAGCUCCGGCGGUGCAGGAUGAGCCCGCGGCCUAUCAGCUUGUUGGUGAGGUAAUGGCUCACCAAGGCGACGACGGGUAGCCGGCCUGAGAGGGCGACCGGCCACACUGGGACUGAGACACGGCCCAGACUCCUACGGGAGGCAGCAGUGGGGAAUAUUGCACAAUGGGCGCAAGCCUGAUGCAGCGACGCCGCGUGAGGGAUGACGGCCUUCGGGUUGUAAACCUCUUUCAGCAGGGAAGAAGCGAAAGUGACGGUACCUGCAGAAGAAGCGCCGGCUAACUACGUGCCAGCAGCCGCGGUAAUACGUAGGGCGCAAGCGUUGUCCGGAAUUAUUGGGCGUAAAGAGCUCGUAGGCGGCUUGUCGCGUCGGUUGUGAAAGCCCGGGGCUUAACCCCGGGUCUGCAGUCGAUACGGGCAGGCUAGAGUUCGGUAGGGGAGAUCGGAAUUCCUGGUGUAGCGGUGAAAUGCGCAGAUAUCAGGAGGAACACCGGUGGCGAAGGCGGAUCUCUGGGCCGAUACUGACGCUGAGGAGCGAAAGCGUGGGGAGCGAACAGGAUUAGAUACCCUGGUAGUCCACGCCGUAAACGGUGGGCACUAGGUGUGGGCAACAUUCCACGUUGUCCGUGCCGCAGCUAACGCAUAAGUGCCCCGCUGGAGAUCCACUUU